GAUGAACGCUGGCGGCGUGCCUAAUACAUGCAAGUCGAGCGAACAGACGAGGAGCUUGCUCCUCUGACGUUAGCGGCGGACGGGUGAGUAACACGUGGAUAACCUACCUAUAAGACUGGGAUAACUUCGGGAAACCGGAGCUAAUACCGGAUAAUAUAUUGAACCGCAUGGUUCAAUAGUGAAAGACGGUUUUGCUGUCACUUAUAGAUGGAUCCGCGCCGCAUUAGCUAGUUGGUAAGGUAACGGCUUACCAAGGCAACGAUGCGUAGCCGACCUGAGAGGGUGAUCAGCCACACUGGAACUGAGACACGGUCCAGACUCCUACGGGAGGCAGCAGUAGGGAAUCUUCCGCAAUGGGCGAAAGCCUGACGGAGCAACGCCGCGUGAGUGAUGAAGGUCUUCGGAUCGUAAAACUCUGUUAUUAGGGAAGAACAAAUGUGUAAGUAACUAUGUACGUCUUGACGGUACCUAAUCAGAAAGCCACGGCUAACUACGUG
rnacentral:rRNA from 1 species